CAGCAGAAAACCUCCUAUAUAUCACGACUGGGUGUUUUCCUUCAAAUUCGUUAUCAAUCACUGGCCCCUCGUCCAAUACUAUAUAUAAGGAGGUUCGUGAUGUUAGAGCCAUGCUCCCUUCGACAAAACCCCUCAGGGAAUCAUACACUAAGACAGAAUGAACGCCAGGCAGAUUUUAGUUCUAGUGUUAGUUUCCAGUAUCCUGGUCGCUUCCUGUGACGCCCAACUAUUCGGAGGCAGACGACGACGAGGUCGUUUAGGGGGAUUUGCGGCUGGGCUCGGGCUCGGGAUUCUGGGAGCAGGGCUUCUGGGAGGUUUUAACCGACCUUAUGGAUAUGGCGGCUUCGGUUCCCCUUACGGUUACGGCGGCUUUGGACGAGGAUUUGGAUACCAUGGACUAGGUUACGGAUAUCCAUACGGUGGUUUUGGUGGUAUCGGAUUUCCCCACUCGCAUAUUCACGUUUACUAAACGAGCUUCCCGUGAUGGACGUGUGUGGGUCAUGAAGAUGUGCUAUUUGCCAAAAAAAUAAAAGAAAAUACGUUACACUC